rnacentral:rRNA from 1 species
UACGAAGGGGGCUAGCGUUGCUCGGAAUUACUGGGCGUAAAGCGCACGUAGGCGGCUCUUUAAGUCGGAGGUGAAAUCCUGGAGCUCAACUCCAGAACUGCCUUCGAUACUGAAGAUCUUGAGUCCGGGAGAGGUGAGUGGAACUGCGAGUGUAGAGGUGAAAUUCGUAGAUAUUCGCAAGAACACCAGUGGCGAAGGCGGCUCGCUGGGACGUGACUGACGCUGAGACGCGAAAGCGUGGGGAGCAAACAGG